CAACAGCUGACUCAAAAGAGCUUUAAAAGAAAGCACCUGAUUUCAUAGUUAGAAAUCAGCAGCAUUAUAACAAGAGUAUUGUUGCCCUCCCUAUGGGAGGGGAGGCUGUGAGAACCUGAGAGGCAGAGGGGUCAAAAAAACAAAUGAGGAAUUGCAGCCCAAGGUGAGGUAGUCAGAAGAUGGAAGCAGUGGGAGGUGCAGCCAGAUCUGUGGGAUCAUACUUGAGGAACAGUAGCAGCAGUGCCUCCUGGAGAUCCUGCAGAAGGAAAGGCUCAGAGAAGGAAAGAGGACUUUGAGGACCAGAAGGCUUGAGGUGCAUCAGAGGGCAUGUUUUGCCUGUGAGUGAGGCAUAUAAGAAAUAUUUGCCUCCACGUGAACUGUGCUUUUAAGACUUGCUCAGCUGUGCAGAGCAUAGAAGAAACUGGAGAGACUGUGGGUGGUACUUUGCCCGUUGCUCAGGCCCAAGAAGGGGCAACGAUGGUGUGGUUCUCAAAGACCGUAUGUUUUUAUUGGGGGUAGGGGAAAGAGGAUCUUGCCUGACUAAAAUCUCAGACUAUCGAAAACUUGGACACCAAAAGUUUGGGUUCCCCAAAUGGCAGAAUGAUCAUGGGAAGGACUGGGCCAGGAGAGACAGGAGAUAACCUGAGUGCUUCAAGUGGGUGUGGGUUUGACCCUUAAGGGAUAGCCUUGGGAAAGUGGAGUCUGUGGGAUGGGGAGAGCCCUGCAUACCAAGGGAAGUAAUUCCCCAGGUAGAGAGGCUGAGAGGGAGAGGGCGCAGCAGAUCCUACCAGAGAGGCUAAAAGAGAUGAAGGCCAAGAGGCAAUCUGCAGCACCAGAAUCUCCUAGGGCAGCAGAGUCCUAUAACCUGCUGGCUGAGGUACAAAGGCAGGAGAGACAGACCCACCUCCCGCUCCACUAACUAAGGUUGGGGUUGAGCUGCAGAGGAUCAGGCUCCAGGUGGAGGAAAUGCAAAGAGAGGAUGGAAGAGGAAGCUAAUGAGCUGAGAAAGCUCAUUAAAAAAGCAGCACAAUUGCAGGCUUGGGCAGAGGGUUGGAAGCAGAGGAAGAGGGAAAGUGUCUGUGAGAAGGGCACAGGGAUGUUGGCUGCAGACAAAAUGGACUCUGCAGAUAUAGCAGCACCAUUUUGGGGUUGCUAAAUCUGUAUAUACAGCACUGAGAGCAGGGGAUAUGAGAGGCCUGCUCUCUUUGGCAUAAAAGCACUGGGUGGUGCUUGUUGCUUUGGAAGAGGCCAGGCAGCAAGCCUGGAAAGAGGAGGAGUUACUGAGGGAAAAGUGAGAGCUGAAGUCCAGAUCAAACUCCUGGAGGAUGUGUGGGAUUUGAAACGGGGCACGCAAAAGGAGCUCUGAGAGAGAGAUGAGUUACUCUGUGAAAUCUCCCAGCUGAAGGGAGAGCUGGAGCAACUACAGGCUGGAAAAUGGACAGGGAAAGGCUGGAGAAAGAAAUGAGGCUCUAUUAGUGGUGCUCAGUUGACGUAUGGACUGUGAGGCUGGCCAAGCCGCGCAGGACCUGGAGUGGCAUAGACUAGGGACUCAUUUCUUCAGAACUGGGGUUAAGGUCUGAGGGGAACCCUCUGGGGGUGUGUUUUGUAUGAUAUGUUUUGUCAAAUAUAUUGUGGAAAGAAGGUUUUGGUUUGGGGGCCCACUAUGCAUGGGCUCUGAUGUAAGGAUGGAUUGUAUAAGGCAUGCCCUAGGGUUGGGCAAGCCCCUAAGAAGGGAAGAGUGUCACCAGGUGAUACUGUCCCUGUAAGAGGAGCAGGACCAAUGCACCUAUACUGCAUUAGCUGACACAACUGAGCUUUAGAAGAGGGCAGCUGGGCUUCCAGGAGACUGGGUGACUCAGUGAGUCAGAGCUAGGAAGCAGGGGCAAAAGGACUGCUAGGGGAAGGAAUCUGGGGAUUGUAGCUCAGGGUGGGCUGAAGAGUUGUUGUUUGAUUAAAAUUGCCUGCAAGAGACUGGGUAUUGCAAACAUGGGGAGAAGCCCUGAUUUGUUACAAUAAUACAAUCCCCAUUUUACACAUAGCUAAACUGAUGCCUAAGUGAUUAACAUAAAGCUGAAUUAGAAACAGGACCAGGAGUCAGGGCACUUGGAUUCUGUGCUGUAACCGUGGGAACGCUCUGCCUUCUAUUUCCUUUAGAUGUAUCUAGUUUUCAGAACAGGCAAUCCCUCUUUCUAUCACUUCAUUGUUUUCUCUCAUUCCCACAUCCAAGUGGCUGAGCAAGUCUGAGGAAAAACGUUUUGAAAGAGACCAGAAUCCACAGGACAGAAAAGCUGCUGCAGUAUCCAAAUGCUCACAAUGGGGGAAAGAAAGCCAGUCUUGUGCAGAGUGGGGAAAGGUAAUCUUUAGUGAAAUAGGAGUCUUUUCUUUAAUGGAUUUAUACUGCAUGCUCCCUCUGUUUACUGUUGCACAAAAAAAGGAGGAAGCUUUUUGUCUUGGUUGUGCUUCUCACUUAUUUUUAUUCUUGCUGGCAGUGCCCAUGAUGGGCAUAGGCUUGGAAAUAUCUCCCAGCUUUCCUCGCCAAUGGUUUUGUUUAUGUACAAAUCCUACAAGCAGAAAAGCUGCCAGAGACUGUUUUUUUGAUUAUCCUGAACAAUGGGAAAGGGGCUGGGUUUGCAUAGGCAAGGGUGCCUAAUGCCAACAAACAUCACUGAAGGAAUUCAAACUGCCUUAUUAUUCUGUUAUACCCAACAUAUGGCUAAAUACUAAAGUAUGAAUGUGUUGCUCUACAAUGACUCUGAUUAAAUCCCAUUACAGUAUGAAUGGCCAAUAUGUUAAUUAAGUAUUUACAAAGAAAACCAAAUUUAAGCCAUUAUUUAUAAAAUGUGAUCUGUGUUUAUCUUGACGACCAAUCGGGAUAUGUUUGUAGCAUAAGCACAAUGCACUUUCAGUGUUCAUAAUUAAGGAAACAAACCCAGAAUGUCCUAUGUCAAAUAGAGUAAGACUGUCUAGUUAAUUGAAUGAUUGUAAUAGUUACAUUGUGUCUUGGUACUUCCCCAUGUGAAGGAAAUAAAGCAGGUAUGAAGUAUGAGCCUUUCAAUGGGUACAUAAUAGUAUCAAUAAAAGUACAA